rnacentral:rRNA from 1 species
AGAGUUUGAUCCUGGCUCAGAAUGAACGCUGGCGGCGUGCCUAAUACAUGCAAGUCGAGCGAACGGACGAGAAGCUUGCUUCUCUGAUGUUAGCGGCGGACGGGUGAGUAACACGUGGAUAACCUACCUAUAAGACUGGGAUAACUUCGGGAAACCGGAGCUAAUACCGGAUAAUAUUUUGAACCGCAUGGUUCAAAAGUAAAAGACGGUCUUGCUGUCACUUAUAGAUGGAUCCGCGCUGCAUUAGCUAGUUGGUAAGGUAACGGCUUACCAAGGCAACGAUGCAUAGCCGACCUGAGAGGGUGAUCGGCCACACUGGAACUGAGACACGGUCCAGACUCCUACGGGAGGCAGCAGUAGGGAAUCUUCCGCAAUGGGCGAAAGCCUGACGGAGCAACGCCGCGUGAGUGAUGAAGGUCUUCGGAUCGUAAAACUCUGUUAUUAGGGAAGAACAUAUGUGUAAGUAACUGUGCACAUCUUGACGGUACCUAAUCAGAAAGCCACGGCUAACUACGUGCCAGCAGCCGCGGUAAUACGUAGGUGGCAAGCGUUAUCCGGAAUUAUUGGGCGUAAAGCGCGCGUAGGCGGUUUUUUAAGUCUGAUGUGAAAGCCCACGGCUCAACCGUGGAGGGUCAUUGGAAACUGGAAAACUUGAGUGCAGAAGAGGAAAGUGGAAUUCCAUGUGUAGCGGUGAAAUGCGCAGAGAUAUGGAGGAACACCAGUGGCGAAGGCGACUUUCUGGUCUGUAACUGACGCUGAUGUGCGAAAGCGUGGGGAUCAAACAGGAUUAGAUACCCUGGUAGUCCACGCCGUAAACGAUGAGUGCUAAGUGUUAGGGGGUUUCCGCCCCUUAGUGCUGCAGCUAACGCAUUAAGCACUCCGCCUGGGGAGUACGACCGCAAGGUUGAAACUCAAAGGAAUUGACGGGGACCCGCACAAGCGGUGGAGCAUGUGGUUUAAUUCGAAGCAACGCGAAGAACCUUACCAAAUCUUGACAUCCUUUGACAACUCUAGAGAUAGAGCCUUCCCCUUCGGGGGACAAAGUGACAGGUGGUGCAUGGUUGUCGUCAGCUCGUGUCGUGAGAUGUUGGGUUAAGUCCCGCAACGAGCGCAACCCUUAAGCUUAGUUGCCAUCAUUAAGUUGGGCACUCUAAGUUGACUGCCGGUGACAAACCGGAGGAAGGUGGGGAUGACGUCAAAUCAUCAUGCCCCUUAUGAUUUGGGCUACACACGUGCUACAAUGGACAAUACAAAGGGCAGCGAAACCGCGAGGUCAAGCAAAUCCCAUAAAGUUGUUCUCAGUUCGGAUUGUAGUCUGCAACUCGACUACAUGAAGCUGGAAUCGCUAGUAAUCGUAGAUCAGCAUGCUACGGUGAAUACGUUCCCGGGUCUUGUACACACCGCCCGUCACACCACGAGAGUUUGUAACACCCGAAGCCGGUGGAGUAACCUUUUAGGAGCUAGCCGUCGAAGGUGGGACAAAUGAUUGGGGUGAAGUCGUAACAAGGUAGCCGUAUCGGAAGGUGCGGCUGGAUCACCU